CAGUCGCCGCGGGAAUACGGAGGGUGCGAGCGUUAAUCGGAAUUACUGGGCGUAAAGCGUACGCAGGCGGUUUGUUAAGUCAGAUGUGAAAUCCCCGGGCUUAACCCGGGAACUGCAUUUGAAACUGGCAGGCUAGAGUCUCGUAGAGGGGGGUAGAAUUCCAGGUGUAGCGGUGAAAUGCGUAGAGAUCUGGAGGAAUACCGGUGGCGAAGGCGGCCCCCUGGACGAAUACUGACGCUCAUGCACGAAAGCGUGGGGAGCAAACAGGAUUAGAUACCCCAGUAGUCCCUGUCUCUUAUAC
rnacentral:rRNA from 1 species